CGCGUAGACGGUUGUCUAAGUCUGGAGUGAAAGUCCUGCUUUCAAGGUGGGAAUUGCUUUGGAGACUGGAUGACUUGAGUGCGGAAGAGGUAAGUGGAAUUCCCAGUGUAGCGGUGAAAUGCGUAGAGAUUGGGAAGAACACCAGUGGCGAAGGCGACUUACUGGGCCGUAACUGACGUUGAUGCGCGAAAGCGUGGGGAGCGAACCA
rnacentral:rRNA from 1 species